rnacentral:rRNA from 1 species
UACGUAGGGGCCGAGCGUUGUCCGGAGUUACUGGGCGUAAAGAGCGCGCAGGCGGUCGUUCAAGUCGCGUGUGAAAGCCCCCGGCUCAACUGGGGAGGGUCACGCGAUACUGAUCGACUCGAAGGCAGGAGAGGGAAGUGGAAUUCCCGGUGUAGUGGUGAAAUGCGUAGAUAUCGGGAGGAACACCAGUGGCGAAGGCGACUUCCUGGCCUGUUCUUGACGCUGAGGCGCGAAAGCUAGGGGAGCAAACGGG